CAAACCAACUAGGGGUGUUCUGCGUGGGUGCAGGACUGAGAGAGUCCCUUUGAACCUGAAAGAGAUAAUGCUCGCGCAGGGAAGUGGUAUGAAAAUCGA
rnacentral:ncRNA from 1 species